rnacentral:rRNA from 1 species
GACGAACGCUGGCGGCGUGCUUAACACAUGCAAGUCGAACGGAAAGGCCCUGCUUGCAGGGUGCUCGAGUGGCGAACGGGUGAGUAACACGUGGGUGAUCUGCCCCUUAUUUUGGGAUAAGCCUGGGAAACUGGGUCUAAUACUGGAUGGGACCAUGCUGUAGGUGGUGUGGUGGAAAGAUUAGUUUCGGUAAGGGAUGAGCUCGCGGCCUAUCAGCUUGUUGGUGGGGUAAUGGCCUACCAAGGCGUCGACGGGUAGCCGGCCUGAGAGGGUGGACGGCCACAUUGGGACUGAGAUACGGCCCAGACUCCUACGGGAGGCAGCAGUGGGGAAUAUUGCACAAUGGGCGCAAGCCUGAUGCAGCGACGCCGCGUGGGGGAUGACGGCCUUCGGGUUGUAAACUCCUUUCAGCCAUGACGAAGCCCUUGUGGUGACGGUAGUGGUAGAAGAAGCACCGGCUAACUACGUG